AAUGAACGUUGGCGGCGUGGAUUAGGCAUGCAAGUCGAGCGAGAACCGUAGCAAUACGGGGACAGCGGCGAAAGGGAGAGGAAUACGCGGGUACCUACCCCAGGAACUGGGAUAGCCACGGGAAACUGUGGGUAAUACCAGAUGAUGUCUUCGGACCAAAGGUGUGAUUCCGUCCGAGGAGGGGCCCACGUCCUAUUAGCUAGUUGGUGGGGUAACGGCCUACCAAGGCAAUGAUGGGUACGGGGCGUGAGAGCGUGCCCCCGCUCACUGGGACUGAGACACUGCCCCGACACCUACGGGUGGCUGCAGUCGAGGAUCUUCGGCAAUGGGCGCAAGCCUGACCGAGCGACGCCGCGUGCGGGAUGAAAGCCUUCGGGUUGUAAACCGCCGUCGGAGGGGAGGAAAUGCUUAGGGGUUCUCCCCUAGGUUUGACCUAUCCUCAGAGGAAGUACGGGCUAAGUUCGUGCCAGCAGCCGCGGUAACAC
rnacentral:rRNA from 1 species